rnacentral:rRNA from 1 species
UCGGAUUGAAGGCUGAAAUUCGCCUUCAUGAAGCCGGAAUUGCUAGUAAUGGCAGGUCAGCAUACUGCCGUGAAUACGUUCCCGGGCCUUGUACACACCGCCCGUCACACCAUGAGAGUUGGGAAUACCCGAAGCCUGUGAGCUAACUUUUAGAGGCAGCAGUCGAAGGUAGAAUCAAUGAUUGGGGUGAAGUCGUAACAAGGUAAC